UCAUAUCUUUGAGAAAUACGCAGCCAACCAAUGUAGGAACAUGAUGUACCAAGCUCGUGUGGAUGCAGUGAAAUAUUUCUUUAGAAAAAUAUUGAGUCGGCCUAUCAAGGAUCCACUAGCACGGAAAAAAGAACUUACUUUCGAAUAAUACUUGAAGUGCAAACCUGAUUGGAUCACAGAUGAGUCCUGGGGUCACUAUGUCAAUAUUGGUGCUCUGCUGGGUACAGAAAGAAACGGAAGCUGGGGCAAGAUUCACGCUAUAAAUCAGAAGAUGUAGCUCAAAACAGGGGUGGUUCAAGACCACUUGGCGAGACCCAACAAUAUCUGAAAGUCAAGUAUGGACCUGAGAAAGGCACUAUCAUAAACACUUAUUGCUGCAUGAAGGCUGGUCUUAAAAAUUGUGAUAGCAGUGGGAAUAGCGGUCCAGUCACAAGCGGACGUGCCACAAAACGUGUUGAUGAUUACAAUGAAGGCCUCCAAGCUGCGUAUCCAACUGAUUGGCAGCAAAGACCUUUUGAUGGAAAAGUUAUGUAUAACACCUCAGGUGGCAUGCCUCAUGGUCGUAUGGCAAUAGCAGAUGGUGCUCUGAGGAAGGCUGACAUUGUGUAUGCUGCAAGGGCAAGUAACAUUAGGCCAUCUAACUCCAUGUCUUACCAAAAUCUCAAAGAGAAGAUUUGAUGAGGCAAUAGAGGUCAAUCGGAACUUAGAAAAAGACAAUGAAGUGUUAAAGAAAGACAAUGCAGUGCUGGUUCGGCGUGUAAAUCGUUUUGAUCAUCUAAUUGAGGUAAUUCUUGUGCUUCUCUAUAUCUUUUGGCUUGAAGAU